rfam:Lingula anatina scaffold653, whole genome shotgun sequence.
AAAACGGUCCUUUUCAGGACCACUACAAAAAUCAGAAAAGCUAAA